rnacentral:rRNA from 1 species
UACGUAGGCAGCAAGCGUUGUUCGGAGUUACUGGGCGUAAAGGGUGCGUAGGCGGCUUUGUAAGUCAGUGGUGAAAUACUCCAGCUUAACUGGAGGGGUGCCAUUGAUACUGCGGAGCUUGAGUACAGAUGAGGUAGGCGGAAUUGACGGUGUAGCGGUGAAAUGCAUAGAUAUCGUCAAGAACACCGAUAGCGAAGGCAGCUUACUGGGCUGUAACUGACGCUGAUGCACGAAAGUGUGGGGAUCAAACAGG